rnacentral:rRNA from 1 species
ACGGGAAGGGAAGACAGGGAUUGCCUUAGUAACUGCGAGUGAAGCGGCAAAAGCUCAAAUUUGAAAUCUGACGUCUUCGGCGUCCGAGUUGUAAUUUGGAGGGAUAACUUCGGGGUUGGCGCCGUCCUAAGUUCCUUGGAACAGGACGUCACAGAGGGUGAGAAUCCCGUGCCUGGAUGGCUGUCCAACUCCAUGUGAAGUGUCUCCGACGAGUCGAGUUGUUUGGGAAUGCAGCUCAAAAUGGGUGGUAAAUUUCAUCUAAAGCUAAAUAUUGGCGAGAGACCGAUAGCGCACAAGUAGAGUGAUCGAAAGAUGAAAAGCACUUUGAAAAGAGAGUUAAAAAGUACGUGAAAUUGUUGAAAGGGAAGCGCUUGCGACCAGACUCGAUCUUUGGUGAUCAGCCGGGCUUCUGUCCGGUGCCCUCGCCAUUGAUUGGGCCAGCAUCGGUUCUGACGGCGGGAUAAAAGGAGGAGGAAUGUGGCUCCCUUCGGGGAGUGUUAUAGCCUCCUUCACAAUGCCGCCAGUUGGGACCGAGGACCGCGCUUCGGCUAGGAUGCUGGCGUAAUGGUCUUAAGCGACCCGUCUUGAAACACGGACCAAGGAGUCUAACAUCUAUGCGAGUGUUCGGGUGGAAAACCCUUGCGCGUAAUGAAAGUGAACGGAGGUGUGAACCCUUUACGGGGUGCAACAUCGACCGGUCCUGAUGUCUUCGGAAGGAUCUGAGUAAGAGCAUAGCUGUUGGGACCCGAAAGAUGGUGAACUAUGCCUGAAUAGGGUGAAGCCAGAGGAAACUCUGGUGGAGGCUCGCAGCGGUUCUGACGUGCAAAUCGAUCGUCAAAUUUGGGUAUAGGGGCGAAAGACUAAUCGAUACUAUUAUUCGGC